rnacentral:rRNA from 1 species
GAUGAACGCUAGCUACAGGCUUAACACAUGCAAGUCGCGGGGCAUCAUGGAGGUUGCUUGCAAUUUCUGAUGGCGACCGGCGCACGGGUGAGUAACGCGUAUCCAACCUUCCCAUUACUACGGCAUACCCCGUUGAAAGGCGGCCUAAUUCCGUAUGCAGUCCGAAGCAGUCAUCUAAUUUGGACGAAAGGUAUAUUCUAUCGGUAAUGGAUGGGGAUGCGUCCGAUUAGCCAGCCGGCGGGGUAACGGCCCACCGGGGCAUUGAUCGGUAGGGGUUCUGAGAGGAAGGUCCCCCACACUGGAACUGAGACACGGUCCAGACUCCUACGGGAGGCAGCAGUGAGGAAUAUUGGUCAAUGGGCGUAAGCCUGAACCAGCCAAGUAGCGUGCAGGAUGACGGCCCUAUGGGUUGUAAACUGCUUUUAUGCGGGGAUAAAGUUGGGGACGUGUCC